GACUAGAUGACCUUUAGAGGUCCUUUCCAACCCAAACUAUUCUAUUCAAUGAUUCUAUUCUAUUCGGCCACCUCUUCUUUGGGUUAACUACCUCCAGCACCUUAGUAAUGCAGGCAGCUGAAGAGGGUAAUAUCUCAAACUUCUCCAGGGUGAAUCACUAGGGCUUGGGAACCAGAGAUGGUUCUGGUUGGGAUGUAAGAUCAAGGUGCUGGAAACAGUCCCCUGCCUUCAGGGACUAAGGCUCUGUCUGCAUAUGGAAAUAGGGUUUUCAAAUGUGUCCUCCUACUGGUAACACCAACCCUGCACCAGGAACAAUGCUGGGAGUCUACUGAAGAAUGGCUCCUGGCUACUGCCAUCUUCAGGACUAUCCCAUGUUAAUUAUUCAGGUCUUUUGUAAAAAGACACCUGUGGCAACUGGCAGAGUACCUGCACAAACAUUACCAGCCUUGAGGCUGAGAAACUGUUAAAUAGCCUUAGUAAUAGAAUAUUAAAACAUUGAUGAUGAGUGCGCGUGGGUGGAAUAAUUGUCUGCUCAGAAAGAGGCGCCUUUUUCUCAUUCUAUUCCUGUAGUUGAAUCCUUAUCUCCUGGGUAAAUAAAAACAAACCUCCC